UGCGCAGGCGGAAUGAUAAGUCAGUGGUGAAAUCCUACGGCUCAACCGUAGAACUGCCAUUGAUACUGUUGUUCUUGAGUACAGUUGUAGUGGGCGGAAUAUGUCAUGUAGCGGUGAAAUGCAUAGAUAUGACAUAGAACACCGAUCGCGAAGGCAGCUCACUAAGCUGAAACUGACGCACAGGCACGAAAGCGUGGGGAGCAAACAGGAUUAGAUACCCUGGUAGUCC
rnacentral:rRNA from 1 species